GUGCUCACUUUGGCAGCAAAUAUACUAAAAUUGGAAUGAUAUAGAGAAGAUUAGCAUGGCCCUUGCAUAAGGAUGACACACAAAUUCAUAAAGUGUUCCAUAUUUUU
ensembl:snRNA U6 U6 spliceosomal RNA